AUGGGCUCCCCUUUGUGCACAUACAGCUUCUUGGAGGUCCUCACAGUGGGCUGCUCUUUCCUGCUGAAACACCCCCUUCUUCUGCCUUCUGGGAGACCACUCUUUCGGGGUUCCCUUCUGAUCUUUUGGGUGCUCCUUCCCAGCUCCCGGUGCCGGCUCCUCCUCCUUCCGCCCUUGACCAAUGACAUAUCCCUGCUGGAUGACUCAGCGGCUUCUGGAGGGACUGAAAGAGUUAAGGACUCUGUGGAUGGUGCAAACGCAGGAGCUCAGCCCCAACACUGGCGAGAGACUGGAACCUGGGACGGUGGCAGUAGACGUACGACGAGAUUGCUUUGCUGGACUUUGUGGUAGCCAAGGCGGGUUGGGCCCACUCAGCAGAGAUGGAGGGAUUGGGACAGGAGUCAACAUCCUGUGCUCAGCCUGUUGCCCUUGUCAGUGAGGCAGGAAUGCACUUUAUUACAGUGAUGGUUUGGGCAACAAUUUCUAAGCUAAUGAAUCUGUUGGUCAGGUGAGCUCAGGUACAUCAUGGCUGAUGCACGUACAUGUAGGCCUUUUUUUUCCCCAAAGAUUUUAUUUAUUUGACAGAGAGAGAGAGAGCGGGCAUGAGCAGGGGAGUGGCAGGCAGAGGGAGAGGGAGAAGCAGGGUCACUGUUGAGCAGGGAACCCAACUAGGGCCUCGAUCCCAGGACCCCGCGAUCACGAUCUUAGCUGAAGGCAGCACGUGUAGGCCUUUUCAAGCGACAGUCUAGAGCUGCACAUCCAGUUUGGUAGCCACUAACCACUGCAGCCAAUUAAAUCUUUAAAAUUUUUAUUUUCAAUUCACAUACAACAAAUUCCCUACAUGCAGUAUUUUUCAUGCACGGUUCCUUGGCUUUGACAAUUGCAUAAAGUCAAGUAACCACCACCACCCUGAAGACCCAGAAGAGUUUGUUCACUUUAAAAUAUCCCCUUGAAAAAAAAAUAAUAAAAUAAAAUAUCCCCUUGGGUUGCUCCUUGGUGGUCAACCUUCUAUCAACCCCAAGUCCCUCACAACCAUCUGUUUUGUAUUUCUAUAAUUUCGCCUUUCAGGAUUUAAAUUAAUUAAAAUUAGACAAAAUAAAGGAUUCAGUUGGUCAGUUGCACCAGCCAUAUUUCAUGCGCUCAAUAGCGACAUGUGGCUGACGGCUACCAUUCUGGACGGCGCAGACAGAAAAUAUUCCCAUCAUUCCAGAAAAUUCUACUGGGCAGCACCAGUAGAGGUCCAUUUAUUCAGUGUUUCUAAAAUGUUUGGGGGUCGUAUUCCUUCUAUCAACCCUCUUCCUAGAAAAGGCUCACAAUACAGGCAUGCAGAAAAGAAAUCCAAUGCUGAGUUUCAGGGCAUCCGUCGAUGGCUCUAAGUCCCUUCCUAUGGGGCUGAGACUCCCAAAUGUCAUGUAAACUUGAAAGUCUAAAAGCAUUUUCCUCAAGCUGAGUUUUCUGCUUUGUGUCUUCAAGUUAGAAAUCAGACCAAAGCGUUGUCUCGUAAGCUUGCUGUUUUCUCUUUAAUAUGCAACGCUGACAGGCAAUUAUUCACGGAGAUUACUCCGUGCGCAGCGUUGGCCUGCUGCGCCGCCCGCUCGGUUGCAGGAAUGAGCUUUUGGAAAUCAUCGUUAUUAGUAAAUAUGAAUCGGGGUGUUUGAAAUGACUUAAUGGAAGUUUAGCUUCUCUCACAUUAAAUCUUCUUUGUUAAAGGGUAAUGGUAAGGUAGUCUGGGCAUCAGCUUAGCACUGUCGAAAAAGGUAGCUUGUUCCUUAAAACAGUGUUCUGGGUAAUUUUCGCCCAGAUCAAUGUCAUUCCAAAAGCUACUGCCUUCCAUUUCACAAUUUAGGGGCGAUAAUUGUGUUGGCUUGACUGACACUGUCUUGGUCACAAUUUCUUUCUGAUGCUGCCUCCUGCUCAGCUCCCCAAAGACUUGGGAAAACCUUUCUUGCUUGCUCCCCAUCCGCCCUUUGCUUAUAAAAUGCCCCACGCAAAAUAAAUAAAUAAAUAAAUAAAUAAAUAAAUAAAUAAAUAAAUAAAUAAAUAAAAUAAAAAAAUAAAAAAUAAAUAAAAAAAUAAAAUGCCCCAUGCAAAUGGGACCGGGUCUGGCUUAAGGGCUGCUCAGGUAUAGAUCCUAAAUCACUGUGACCUUAUUACCAGAGGAAAGCAUUUUAUUUACUUCCAGGGCCCCUAGGUCCCAUGGCAUCUAGAUAACAGCGACUCAAAUGACUCAAAUACUUCUUCUGGGCCCCACGGAAAUCAAAAGCCCACCCCUUAGCUGUCUGCAAAUGGUCCACAGCUUACCAUGGUGGAAGUCAGACCAGAAUUCUUGAUUUCCUGCCUUAAAGAGUUCUCCUUCCAGGUUCUGCCUCUUAGGGGGUUGCCUUUUAUUUUCACCUGAUGGUGAGCCCAACUGCAGCCCGACACUCCUUCUUUUGAAUUCAUUGCCCACCUUCCGACUGCCAUGAAUAUAGGCCGCUUGCACGUAGUGGAACUUUCUCCAAAAGUUUGUGGGUCAAGGGAAUAUUCACUUCCCCAGCACGCAGCAAGCUUUUGGAAAUCCUGCGUCACCUCCUGCUGCUCUUGGGAGCACGCUGGAUCCUCUGCAAGUUCAGUCAGGGUGGUGACCUGCAGUCGGCCCUCUUGACUCCUUGCUUCUCCCUCUUCUUUCUAUCCUUUCCUUCUUCUCUCCAGAGAUGAAUGGACACUUCUGAUGGAUUCUGUUUUUUAAAAAAGAUUUUAUUUAUUUAUUCAUGAGGAACACAUAGAGAGAGAGGCCCAGACUAGGCUGAGAGAGAAGCAGGCUCUCUGCAGGGAGCCUGAUGCAGGACUCAAGUCCCAGGACCUGGGGAUCAUGACCUGAGCCGUAGGCAGAUGCUCGACCACUGAGCCAUCCAGGUGCCCCACUGAUGGACAUUUCUAAUACAGAACAGCAUGGCCCUAUCUUCAAUGCCCUUGGCUCUUGCUAACACCCACAUCCUGGGGACCUCAUUCCUACUCCAUAUUCAUCAGGACUUUUGGGUUGCAAACAACAGAAAGCCAACUCAAAUUAGCUUCAGGGGAAAAAGAGAGUAUUCUUUGACUCGAGAAACCUAAAAGGAAAAAGCAGGAGAGGCUGGCCGACAGGCUGACCUGGAGGCUUGGCAAAGUUUUCUCCAUAUUCAUCCUUUCUACCUCCCAGCUCCUGGGAUUCUUCUGAAAACAGCUUUCUCCAGGUAGUGGAGACAUGGCUUCAGGCAUCAGGGACCCCAUCCUUGUCUCCACAAAGGAAGCAGCACCCUUGGGUAGAACAGUCUGGGCAAAGUUCUGAUUGGCCUGCCCUGGGCUCCGUCUGAUGCAAGGCUCCUUCCCAAGACCCCGGGAUCAUGACUUGAGCUGAAGGCAACACUAGAACAGUCACAGUGGGCAAGGGACAGGGGACAGGGGAUGGCGACCUGGAGUGGGUGCCAUCCCCUGCAAUUAGGGAGGCAGAAUAGUAGAUCCAGGUGCAGGGGAGGAAAUGCCAGGGGGUCAGAAAUGGCUACUGAUGCAUACAGCAGGUGGCGCUCACUGGAGGGCUUACCUGACCACUGCUAAGAAGCUCAGAAAGAGCAAAGGGGGCACAGAGACCCUGAUAAUGUUACAGGUCCCAUGACUCACCCACAACAGACGUGGGGCCAGGGCCGGAUAACUCCCCCCUUCUGCCCCUAGGAAGGGUCUCUGCAAUCCAACAGCAAGAAUGUUUUGGAAGCCUGGGCAUUAUGUACCCUCCUGCAAGAGGCACUUUCAGCACAAGGAAGAACUCUGGAAGGCAUUUCAGAGAGAUCACCUCACUUGUCCCGCGUCCUCUGCUCAGACUGCUCCUAAAACGGCCUGGGCUGAUAGCAGUUGUCGUUCCCUGAAUCAUUUCCAGAAGGUGAUGCUAUAGCCUCUCAGCAGCCAGUAUUUAAUAACCUUAAGCAUCUGGAAAUCCUUCCUUAUUUUCCAACCAAAAUCCUUCCUGAUGCAAUUGCAAGUCAUUUCCUCUCAGUGCUCAGGAAAGGGAAACCAGAUGGUCAGUGCCCCACAUGAAAUAACUUUUAAUAAACUUGCCAGAAUUAGUGACCCAUCGUGUAGUCUGUUUCUUCCCUGGGUGAAAUUGUCCCAAUUCCAUCAACUGUUUUCUGCUUUGGUCUCAUUUUC
rnacentral:lncRNA from 1 species